UGUUCCCUGGGCAGGCUUAGACAGUUUGCAGGCCCACCUUCCCUGACUUCCCUCUUUGGAGGCUGCAGAAAACUUUGCUCCCUAGUUCUGAUCAAAGACCAACUCCCAAAUAUGCUUCCUCUUAGGUGUUUCUCUCCAGGCUCCUAAAAGGUUUUUUGAAGCUGUGACCACAAACCCUGCACUUUGUGGGAGGAACCCUAUUCUCUCCUCGGCUGCCUCAGAUUUCUGUGUUGUGCAGGUUCCGUCCCUCCUUCCUUCAUGUGCACAGUUCAGUGGCACUAAGCACAUUCACAUUGUGCAGCCAUCACACCCUCCAUCUCCAGAACUUUCUCAUCUGCCCAAACUGAAACUCUGUUCCCGUUAGACAGUAACUCCUCACUUCCUCCCUCCCCAGCCCCUGCGGCGCACUAUCUACUUUCUGUCUCUGUGAAUUUGAUGGCUCUAGGGUCCUCAUGUAAGUGGAACCACACAUUAUGUGUCCUUUUGGGUUUGACUUAUUUCACUUAGCAUCACGUCUUCCAGAUUCAUCCACGUUGUCAGAAUCUCCUCCGGUUUUAAGGCUGAGUCAUGUUCCAGCAUGUGGAUGACCCAUGUUGCAUGGAUCUAUUCAUCCAAUGACAGGCACUUGGGAUGCUUCCACCCUUUGGUUGUUGUGAAUAGUGCUGCUGUGAACAUGGGUGUGCAAAUAUCUGUUUGUGUCUGUGCUUUCACUUCUUUUGGGCGUAGUUCUUUUGAGACGUUUUUUCCAUAUCCUCUCGAAUACUGGUUAUUUUCUGCAUUUUUUUUGACCAAUAGCCAUUCUAACAGGUGUGAAGGAGUCUCUCAUCGGGGCUGUGCUCGUAUUUCCCUGGUGGUCAGGGGUGUUGUGGCUUAGCCUUUCCCACUCUUGUCUUCAGGGUGGGGCUCCUACCUCCGCUGAUGAGGGCCUCGCAGUGGGUGAGGGCCUGGUCUUAUCGCAUUGAGGAAGCAGCUACUUUCUCUGGGAGUCAGUUUUGCCAUCUGUGAAAUGGGAAAAAGGAUAAUAACAGCACAUGCCUCUCAGGGCAGCAUGAGCAUUCAGUAAGUCAGCACAUCUAAGGCCCUUAGGAAGGUGCCUGGCAUAUAGUAAGUGCUCAAAAAAUACAAGCUGUUUUUAGAUUUCUGUUGUUACAGUCCAGGUUCAGAUGGAACCUGCAGCAUUGUCCAAAACAGGUGUGCUCAGGCUAAGGGCUUCAGGUAGCAUGGGGGGAUGAAAGUGGAUCCCUCGACUCCUGCGAGGCCCCCAUCUGCUCAGGGCGUUUUCAGGUUCAUGAGUCCUUGAGGCCACGCCCUUGCUUACUUUGUGGUCUCGUAUUUCAUGUUCUCCCUCCCAGCACAGGAUCUUUCAGUUUGUUGUAUUUAACAAACAUACUGAGGUUCUAAGGGCCUCACAGAUAUGAACUCACUUAAUUCACACCACAACCAUCUGAGAUAGGUAUUAUCAGCUCCACUUUAAAGGUGGGGCGGUCAAAGCCCAGAGGAAUUAAGGAUCAAGCACAGAGGAGAGCUGAGAAUCAGUUCCUGUAUCCACCAGGGUCUGAGCAGGAAGUGGACAGCACGCUCAAAAUAGGAGACUCUCAAGAGGGUUCAACAGAGGAGCUAUUUCCAAAGGCAGAGGGAAAACAAAGGACGGAGAGGCUGUUCUCAGCCCUUGAGCCGAAGGGUCGGGACCUGGAAGGAGAGGAGGCUGCUGAUUCAGUCAGCUGUUGCCGCAUAACAAUGUAAUGACUUAAAACAGCACCAUUUAGGUAUUUCUCCCGAUGUGUGGGUAGAAACGGCGAUUCAGGUCCCAAAUGGCCCCUCAAGGUGCUGGCUGCCAGCUGGGGGCUCGUUGGGCUGCUGCUGGGGCUGGGAUCCCCUCACGUGGCUUCUUCACCCAGAUGCUUGGGCUUCCUCCCAGCGUGGCUGCCGAGUUCAAGAGGGAGUGUUCCAGGAGGUGAGGCCAGAAGCUGCUGAUCGCUUAGGGUCCCCUCUUGGAGGCCACAGUGUCACUGGUGCCACAUCCUAUUGAAACAGGCCACAGUGUCAGCCUAGAUGUGGGGGGAGGGGACAUAGAUUCUUUGUAAGAGGAGUAGCCAAGGAUCUUUAAUCUUUUAAUCUUUAAGGAAAUAGCAUGGGCGGAAUCUGGGGAAUAGUGUCUCAUUUCUCCCUCACCUUCUUCAGAUCGCCUCCCUCCCACUGGCCAGAGGCAGCUGGACACGUAAGGACAAGGAAGCCUGCUGACCUGGCCUGUGACAGUCAUCUUCUUGGGUGGCACGGGGUGGAAGCGGAAGAUGGCUUUGAGGGGGAGGAGGACACCCUGACACAGCACCUGCUGCUGCCAAGCUCUUCUAGGACCCUCUAUUUUUCCUUUAUUAUGAUGCAAUUUGUGACAGAUCUGUGAUUCGGCUUUGUGUCAAAUUUGGCUUUGUGUCAAAUUCUUCAUUGUCAGUCUCUCUUUUAAGACCAUGAGCUCCCAGGAAGUGGGACCAGCUGCUAUGCCCACCACUGGAUCCCCAGGCCCAGCACUGGCAUAGGUAGGUGCUCAGUAGCCCCUCACUCCUGAUCCAUCUGCUAGAGCUGUGGGUUCUGUACCCCAAAUACACCUUGAAUCCAUCCAGCUGUCUCUGGUUCCCCCAAUCCAGAUCCCUAUAACACAGGACAACUGCAUUUCUUUUUAUUGAGGUAUGGUUGAUAUGACAACUGUAUCUUAUCAUAUCUAAGCCACGUUUUUUACUCUUGACCUCCAAACAGUGGCCAGGGAGAUGCAUUUUUUUAUUCUUAAGAAAAGAAAAGAAAUUGUUUUGGUCAACUGGGGCUGCUCUAGAAGAAAGCUACAGACUGAGUGGCUUAUAAGCAGCAGAAUUUAUUUCUCAUACUUUUGGAGGCGGAAGUCAGAGGUGAAGGUGCUGGCAGAUUCUCUGUCUGGUGAGAACCCACUUCCUGGUUCAUAGGUGGUACCUGGGACCCUGUGUCCUCACCUAGCAGAAGGGGUGAGGAAGCUCUCUGGGGUCUCCUUUAUAAGGGCACUUAUUUCAUGUAUCAGGUUCCACCCUCAUGACCUAACUGCCUCCCAAAGACCCCACCUCUUAACACCAUCACACUGGGUGUUAGGAUUUAACAUAUGAAUUUUGGGGGACACACACAUUUAGUCUUAGUAGAAACACACACCAGAGCAAAGACUGUACCAUGAAUUCCCCAACAUGCCCAUUUCUCAGAUUUAACAAUUAUCCAGGUUUUUUUGUCCCUGUUGCUUCAUCUGUCCUUGUUUCUUUCUCUUUGAGUGAAUUGUCUUGAAGCUUACCUCGGGUCCUCAUGGUGCCAUCUGUGCUUCUCUGGCCCUUGAACAAACUGGACAGCUCCUUGUUGCAGGGCCUUUGCACUUACUGCUUAUUUUGCCAGAGAUGUCCUCCCCUGGCUCUGGCCCUUCAUACUUCACCCCUCCACCCCCUCAUCUCUCUGUGGUAUUACCCCAUUGUUUCUCUCAUUAGCACUUAACAUCAUCUAAGAUCCUUAUUUAUUUGCUUGUGGGAUUUUUGUUGUUGUUGUUGUUGUUUGUUUUGCUUUUAAAUUUCUCUUCCCAACUAAAAAAGAAGGCCAGGACACAGGGACCCUGUCUUUCUGGUCCACUACUCUAUCCCCAGCUCAUAACACACAGUAGGCCCAGCAAAGAGUGGGUGCUCAGCAGGUAUUUGCUACAUGAAGAAUGAAUGAAUGUGAACAUCUCUCUGGGUAGGUAGGGCAGGGUCAUGUGACUUUAGAGGAGCCUUCUGGGUCCUGGGAUAGGAACCAUCCUCAUGUGGCCAGCUGCUGUGGGCCAUGGCAUCUGACAGAAGCUUCUCUCCUCUUGUGACCUGGUGGAAAUGGAGCAGAGUUAUCAGUUCACAGCUGCCCGCUGAGUCCUCCCCACACACUUCCACCUUUGUCUCCGGGGCAUUUUCACCUACAGAAGGAAAACAGGUCCUAAGAAGUCAUAUGCAUCAUCAUGAGAAAUUAGCAUCUUAAGAACUAUCUAGGUGCACACCAGCCUCAGGGCCUUUGCAUUGGCUGUUCUCCCUGCCUGGAACACUCUUCCUCAGAUAUCCAAAUGGUUCCUUCCUGCCCUUCCUUUGGAUCUUCAGUGUAAUGUCACCCUUUCACAGAGGCCUUCCCAAACCACCCAUUUAAAUCACAACCCUCUCCCCACUGGUGGCACUUACCCUGUUCUCUUAUUUUUUCC